ACAAACUUGGUCAUUUAGAGGAAGUAAAAGUCGUAACAAGGUCUCCGUUGGUGAACCAGCGGAGGGAUCAUUACCGAGUUUACAACUCCCAAACCCUAUGUGAACCUCUACCUUUACUGUUGCUUCGGCGGGCUUUAGCCCCGGGAGCCGGCUCGAUAGGGCCUGCCCGGAAACAGGCGCCCGCCGGGGGACCAACCUAUAAACUCUUGUAUCUCUAUGCUAUACGUAUGUCUGAGUGGUAUAAAAAAAUCAGUUAAAACUUUCAACAACGGAUCUCUUGGCUCUGGCAUCGAUGAAGAACGCAGC
rnacentral:misc_RNA from 1 species